rnacentral:lncRNA from 1 species
AAACUACCAUUUGGUGUCCUGCUGAGACAAGAAAAUAUUUUCACAACUCAAGACAAGUUAAAUAUCCACUUAUGGGAACAGUGCUGAAGGCCUGGACUAGGAUGGUAGCAAUGGAGACAGACUAAAGAAAGAGAUGCAAUCAUUCCCUUGCAUAUGGUCCGUAUGAAGACGGGAUCAUUACAGGAAAGGUGAAGGAGAUACAGUCAUUAUGCUCUAUAUACACCCAUUUUUAUGGCUAGCGGCUGAAGAUGGGAUGCUUUCUUUGCUGGAAGACCUAUUACCUGUUAGGUUGCAAAAGAUGUGAUCAUCUUCCUAAACAAUAAUUUAGAGUCCCAUAACAAUUUUAAGUGUGCUGUUCAUGAAAAUUUGAAUACAUUGUAUUGGGAAUAUAAUGGAAGUGAGAUGCCUCAUGUCGUGAGAAAAUCUGACAUAAACUCCUUAAGCAUGAGAGGCCAUGUGGGUAUGGAAGCCCUGAAAGGGAGGAAAAAACAGCCAGACCCUAGCUGUUCCAGUCAUCCCAACUGAGGUGCCAGACUUGUGAUUGAGGCCAUCUUGCAUCAUCUAGGCCUAGUAGAGCUGCCAACUGACUGCAGACACAUGAGUCAAUCCAGCUAAUGCCACAUGGAGCAGAGACAAGCCGCCCAGCUGAGCCCAGUCCAGAUGACAGAAUCAUGAGCAAAUAAGGUUGUUGUUCUUUUAAGCCACUAAAUUUUCGGGUGAUUUGUUACACAGUAAUAAAUAACUGAAACAACUA